UGUUGAAGAAGACUUUCUUUCAUAAGAAAGAAAAUACUUACUAUCUUUGGGAUCUGAUCCUACACCGCUGCUCAAGACUUUAGUGGAUCGACUCUAUUACAUAAG